UCAAAGUACUUUUCCUUGCUUAGGGAGAUC
rnacentral:piRNA from 1 species